ACGGGUGCGUAACACGUAUGCAAUCUACCUUUAAUUGGAGCAUAGCCUCGAGAAAUCGGGAUUAAUACUCCAUAACAUAAUUGAGUGGCAUCAUUUGAUUAUCAAACCUCCGGGGAUUAAAGAUGAGCAUGCGCAACAUUAGCUAGUUGGUAAGGUAAUGGCUUACCAAGGCUACGAUGUUUAGGGGGUCUGAGAGGAUGAUCCCCCACACUGGUACUGAGACACGGACCAGACUCCUACGGGAGGCAGCAGUAGGGAAUAUUGGGCAAUGGAGGAAACUCUGACCCAGCCAUGCCGCGUGCAGGAUGACGGCCCUCUGGGUUGUAAACUGCUUUUAUACGGGAAGAAAAAGUGCUACGUGUAGCAUACUGACGGUACCGUAAGAAUAAGGAUCGGCUAACUCCGUGCCAGCAGCCGCGGUAAUACGGAGGAUCCAAGCGUUGUCCGGAUUUAUUGGGUUUAAAGGGUGCGUAGGCGGAUCUUUAAGUCAGUGGUGAAAGCCUGCAGCUUAACUGUAGAACAGCCAUUGAAACUGAAGAUCUUGAAUGUGGUUAAAGUAGGCGGAAUGUAUCAUGUAGCGGUGA
rnacentral:rRNA from 1 species